rnacentral:rRNA from 1 species
GACGAACGCUGGCGGCGUGCUUAACACAUGCAAGUCGAACGGUGAAGCGCCUUCCUUUUUGGUGGGUGUGGAUGAGUGGCGAACGGGUGAGUAACACGUGAGUAACCUGCCCCCUUCUUCUGGAUAACCGCAUGAAAGUGUGGCUAAUACGGGAUAUUCUGGGUCUGUCGCAUGAUGGGUCUGGGAAAGAUAUUGUUUCGGUGGGGGAUGGGCUCGCGGCCUAUCAGCUUGUUGGUGGGGUGAUGGCCUACCAAGGCGGUGACGGGUAGCCGGCCUGAGAGGGUGGACGGUCACACUGGGACUGAGACACGGCCCAGACUCCUACGGGAGGCAGCAGUGGGGAAUAUUGCACAAUGGGCGCAAGCCUGAUGCAGCGACGCCGCGUGAGGGAUGGAGGCCUUCGGGUUGUGAACCUCUUUCGCCAGUGAAGCAGGCCUGUCUCGUUUGUGGGUGGGUUGACGGUAGCUGGAGAAGAAGCGCCGGCUAACUACGUG